GACGAACGCUGGCGGCGUGCUUAACACAUGCAAGUCGAACGGAAAGGCCCUGCUUUUGUGGGGUGCUCGAGUGGCGAACGGGUGAGUAACACGUGAGUAACCUGCCCUUGACUUUGGGAUAACUUCAGGAAACUGGGGCUAAUGCCGGAUAGGAGCUCCUGCUGCAUGGUGGGGGUUGGAAAGUUUCGGCGGUUGGGGAUGGACUCGCGGCUUAUCAGCUUGUUGGUGGGGUAGUGGCUUACCAAGGCUUUGACGGGUAGCCGGCCUGAGAGGGUGACCGGCCACAUUGGGACUGAGAUACGGCCCAGACUCCUACGGGAGGCAGCAGUGGGGAAUAGUGCACAAUGGGCGGAAGCCUGAUGCAGCAACGCCGCGUGCGGGAUGACGGCCUUCGGGUUGUAAACCGCUUUCGCCUGUGACGAAGCGUGAGUGACGGUAAUGGGUAAAGAAGCACCGGCUAACUACGUG
rnacentral:rRNA from 1 species